rnacentral:tRNA from 1 species
GGAGUACCAAAUCUAGGAAUUAAGACUAUGCGUCCAGGAAAGUUUAAAAAAGCUAGUUGGUCUAAGGAGUACAAAGA